AUCAGUAAUAACAUGAGGAAUACAUAAUAUGUCCAUAGAAGGUGCACUUUUAAUUUCCCACACUUCCCACUAUAGUGUUUCUAUUUCUGCCAUUUUAUAAUAUAUAAUGCCAUUUUAUAAUUACUCUGAAUCUUUUUGUCAAAGAUUAUUUGAAAAUAUAACAAAAUUAUAAACCCUAACUAUAUAUAAAAAAAAUUCAUAUGGCCAUGGCUGCAUUGUCCUCAAGCAUCAUGGAGCAUCUUCCUGGGUUAAGCCAUGGCUGUGAGCACUUUGCACCUGUGUAGACUUGUUAAAAUCUCUAGGGAGACUCUUUAUAUGUCCCCACAGCCCUCUGUCACUCAGAAAACCCUCCAUAAUGCUUGUCUUUAGCCUCAGUUCUAUGCAGUGCUCAUCACUUUGUUCACAGUGCUUUUGUGUGGCUUGAAGAACACAUCAUUCACUUUAUUUUGUUACAGUUACCUCUUAAAAUAUAUCUUCCUGUGAUAUUUAGAGUUCCCAGAAAACUAAGACAAAUCAGUUAUUGGCAGUGUCAUUGGUUACCAGCAAUGAACCUGAUAUGCCAUGGGGGAUAGAAGAUGUUGGAUGAACAAAUCAGUUCAUGAAUAAGAAAUUUUUAUGUUUUAACUAUAUCGCAUGGUACCCUCUCGAGUCAAUGCAAAAUCUGAAGUAAAUUAGUAACUCUUAGGGCCAGAUCGAAUAUAUAAAUAAUAAUGAGGACAUAAAUUUCAUGUGUGGUCUUCGUAGUCAACUAACUGGCCAAGAAACGUUGAUUGAAGCUAAAGUUACCCGAAAUCUCACAUUGUGAAUUUAUUAAAAAAAUGGACCAUUAAAUGAACUGAGAUUCUUUAAUACAUAGUUUCAUCUAUUCCAACUUUUUUUUUCAACAAAAGGCCAGAUAAUAAAUACCUUAGACUUUGUGAGCGGCUAUGGCUUGGGCAUACCCACUUUGGCAAUGGUUCUCCAGCCUCAAGCUUGCCAUCCCGUAAUUCCAGUUCCAAUCAACAUCUACAACUUCAUGAGUUCCUGAGCUGUGAGUGCCCCGCUUAGCCAAUCUGAUAUUUGCAAUCCACAAAAACUCUGAGAAUAAUGGGCAUUUGUUGUUUUAUAUUCACUAAUUUCAGGGGUGAUUUGUUUUAUAUAAACUUAUGAUUAAUGUGAUCCUCUUAAGCAGUCCUCAAAUCCAAAAUGUUAAACCUGUUUCAAGGAAAGUUUGUGACUUUAAACUCUCUAUUGGUUUGGGGUGCACCAGCCACUUGGAUACAGUUGUAAAAUUUGCAAUUUAUUGGAGUAAGUGGCUAAGAGAACGGGCUUUGGCUUUCUGGGAACCCAGGACUGAAUUUCUACAAUUUCAUUGAUCAGUCCUAUCACCUUGGACACAUGUAAGUAUUAUGGUAUUAAUAACCAAUGUAGGUUGAGUACUGUUUGCUCUUGAGUUUAUACAGGUGUUGACUCAUUGAGUCCUCACAAAAGUCCCCUGAGGGGAUUGUUACUCCUAUUCAAGUGAAGGUAAGCAGCCUAAAGUACAGUGCAACUUCAUAGAAACUGACGCAUUUCAAGCCCACACGGCAUGGGGAGAACUGAUGGGUUUGGUCCAUAAAGAUCAAAUGAUUAUGUCAGUUUAUUAUUUAUUUAUACAGUGAAAAACACUGAGAUACCAAUGAAACCAGCUCUUUGGGUUCUGGCCCACGAGGACCAGAGAGGAUGAUAUUACCAAGAGGAGACGAUGGCAAUGCCAGAAAUGUGAGUUCAGAAAGCCAAGUAAAAUCUCCACAGCAAAAUAAGGUCAGCUCUCUUUAAUUAUAUGUUACCCAUUUUUAUUUUAUUAAAUUGAUAUGGUCUACAUAAAGUUCCAGAUUAUAGUUUAGGAGUUAAUCACAUAAAAAAGUCAAAAACAAUUUGCUUUAUUUACUCAAAACAUAUAUUCUGUAAAUAAAUCAAUAUUAGAUUGCUUAGUAGUAAUAAAGUUACAGUGUGUUACUUUUCAAUGUUGUUACUUGUUUAGAAAGCACAAAAUUUAAAAUUUCCAGUAUGAAAAUUUGUCUGUGUUAGAAUUUGACAUAUUUAAAAGCACAUUAUAUUUGAAACCUAUAAACCUCUAAAAUAAUAUGAUGAAUAUUGCCAAUAUAUGCACAGGAAGUUCUGUUUCUUAAAUAAGUCACUAAUGAAGAAGUAAGAUCUUAAUUCUUUGGUUAUUUUUCAAAUGCUGAAUUGUAUUGGAAAAUUACUACAUACUUUCUACCAAUUUGUCUUGAUGUGCUUUUAAUGUAGGAUGUCAACUUCCUCUGGAGAAUAGUGCAUUCAGCAUUGUUCUGGAAUAUAGAAGAGUUAUAGCAAACAUGUGUUUGAAUGUAAGUAAAAAUGAAGUCAGGAAAUAUCUCAGAUACUCUCUUCUUUCUCUUGCCCCGAGAGCUCCCUUUCAGUAGAUGCACCUUGUGAGACUCUGAGGACUCCUGGAGAUGGACUGAAUCCAUUUUUCAUUGUGAGAAUGACAUAAGAAAAAUUUUGGAGAUACAGAAAGAAUGUUAUUGUUUGGAAAUAAAGUAUUGCAAAGAU